rnacentral:rRNA from 1 species
CCUACGGGUGGCAGCAGUGAGGAAUAUUGGUCAAUGGACGAGAGUCUGAACCAGCCAAGUAGCGUGAAGGAAGACUGCCCUAUGGGUUGUAAACCUCUUUUAUAUGGGAAUAAAAUGUGCCACGUGUGGGACUUUGUGUGUACCAGAAGAAAAAGGAUCGGCUAACUCCGUGCCAGCAGCCGCGGUAAUACGGAGGAUGCGAGCGUUAUCCGGAGUUAUUGGGUUUAAAGGGAGCGGAGGUGGAUGUGUCAGUCAGGGGUGAAAGUUGGCGGCACAACCGUAGAACUGCCGUUGAAACUGGAUCUCUUGAGUACGCGAGAGGUGUGCGGAAUGCGUGGUGUAGCGGUGAAAUGCAUAGAUAUCACGCAGAACUCCGAUUGCGAAGGCAGUACACUGGAGUGCAACUGACACUGAGGCACGAAAGUGUGGGUAUCAAACAGGAUUAGACACCCUAGUAGUC